GGAACUGUGCCUGAAACUAUAAGGGUUACUUUGAUAGAGUAAUAUAUAGGGGUUAAAAUCCCCUCAGCUCCU
rnacentral:tRNA from 1 species